rnacentral:rRNA from 1 species
AUUGAACGCUGGCGGCGUGCUUAACACAUGCAAGUCGAUCGGUAACGCGGGGGCAACCCUGGCGACGAAAGGCGGACGGGUGAGGAACGCUUGGGAAUCUGCCCUUCAGCGGGGGACAACCCGGGGAAACUCGGGCUAAUACCGCAUACGCUCCACGGAGGAAAGCCGGGGACCGCAAGGCCUGGCACUGAAGGAUGAGCCCAAGUCGGAUUAGCUAGUUGGCGGGGUAACGGCCCACCAAGGCGACGAUCCGUAGCUGGUCUGAGAGGACGAUCAGCCACACUGGGACUGAGACACGGCCCAGACUCCUACGGGAGGCAGCAGUGGGGAAUAUUGGACAAUGGGCGGAAGCCUGAUCUAGCCAUGCCGCGUGUGUGAAGAAGGCCUUUUGGUUGUAAAGCACUUUAAGCGAGGAGGAGGCUACCUAGAUUAAUACUCUGGGAUAGUGGACGUUACUCGCAGAAUAAGCACCGGCUAACUCUGUGCCAGCCGCCGCCGUAAGAC